UUUGUUGAUGGUCAUCUAUUCAUCAUUGGGCAUAUUUUUUUGCAACCAUUAAUAUGCUGUGGUAAUUAGAUGAACAUCAACAAACA
rfam:Capsicum annuum cultivar Zunla-1 unplaced genomic scaffold scaffold92027, whole genome shotgun sequence